AGCGUAGGCGGAUAGUUUAGUCAGAGGUGAAAGCCCAGGGCUCAACCUUGGAAUUGCCUUUGAUACUGGCUAUCUUGAGUACGGAAGAGGUAUGUGGAACUCCGAGUGUAGAGGUGAAAUUCGUAGAUAUUCGGAAGAACACCAGUGGCGAAGGCGACAUACUGGUCCGUUACUGACGCUGAGGCUCGAAAGCGUGGGAGCAAACA
rnacentral:rRNA from 1 species